rnacentral:lncRNA from 1 species
CCAUGAACCAUGACCACCAUUCCGUUUGGUGCUUGAAAGUGCAAGCAGGAAGCAUGUGGAAGUAAAUUUCUUAGUUUGCCUACACAAGAAAUUCUCUAAAGUAACUGAAUCGUAAAGCCAGUAAUAAGAAGACAAUUCACAAUUGCCUUUCAACCAGUGAAUGUUUUUUAUAAAGAAUCCAUGUUCGUCAAGUCAGAUCACCAAACUGGAAAAGUUUCAGUGCUCCCUCAGACCUUCACAUAGAAUAUUUGUAUCUAAUCUACACAAAAUAAUUUUUAAACUCGUGCUUCAUGAUGGGAUUUGUCUCCUUUGGGCUUGAUUAGUUUGCGAAUCACAAUGUUGUCUUCACUCAUUUCCAUGGUUUCGACAUAUCUGUAGGACUCCAUGAGAGAAAAAGCACAUGCUUAACUCUAUACACAGCAGAAGGAAGUUGUUAAAGAAUCGCCAACCAAGUAGCAAAUGAAAAACAAGGGAAUUUCGGACAAGCGCUGAAAAUUAUUUGACUGGUGUCGCCGAAUAAACACUUGUACAGAGCAAGGAAGCAUUACACAAGGAACACGGAGCUUCUGAAUAACUCGAGCACAACAGCAGGCAAGAAGAAACACAACCUGCGCAGAACAUCUCAUCAGACACUUCAAACUGCUCUUGAAAUUCCUCAAUGCACGCCUAAAUGCGUAAUCGGGAUGGAUGCAUUGGUUGACUUCAAGAACUACAUUGACAAAUUGUAGUGCCGUUCGCCCAAAGGAAUUUAUUAAACGUGGAAAUUAACACGAGUUCAAGAAAGCUUGUACGACUGAUGUGAACAAUUUCGACCUGCAAUUGUCUCAAUCAACCCGAUCUCUCCACGGAGCAAGUGCACAUUCGUUUAUCGCUAGCAAAUGAAGGGCACUUCUUCCGUCGUUGUCCAGGGAGUUUGGAUCGGCCCCUGCAUCCAGCAACAAUAUAAUUACUUUGAAGAUUGAAGUCGGUGUGCAAGGAACUGCACACGCUUUCAGUAAGAGCCUGAGGUUUUCUGUAGUCCAUCUGUUAUGGGUGAAGACGCUGAGCGCGAGUAGAUUCUCUACAAGGAUAUUCUCUUGUGCUGACAGGCUAUCCAUUUCAUAAAUUGAUUGAAGAAGGCAUUUGAUGAGAAAAGACAGCUGCGAUGCUCCCUCCUCUCGAAGUCAUUUUGGAUUCUUCGCUUGGACAAUAGUGAUUGUAGAAUUUUCCCAAGAAGUUGCACGUGAAAUCUAAGCAAACUAGAGGCUUCCAAAUGUUAAAAACAUUCCAACAACAUGAAGAACUUCCAUACCAACAAGUGUUCCAAUUCUCAACAAACCUGGCACGUUUUUGAAGAUUGAAAGCCUCUACGUUUGCAUGGACUUCACGUGCAACUUCUUGGGAAAAUUCUACAAUCACUAUUGUCCAAGCGAAGAAUCCAAAAUGACUUCGAGAGGAGGGAGUAUCGCAGCUGUCUUUUCUCAUCAAAUGCCUUCUUCAAUCAAUUUAUGAAAUGGAUAGCCUGUCAGCACAAGAGAAUAUCCUUGUAGAGAAUCUACUCGCGCUCAGCGUCUUCACCCAUAACAGAUGGACUACAGAAAACCUCAGGCUCUUACUGAAAGCGUGUGCAGUUCCUUGCACACCGACUUCAAUCUUCAAAGUAAUUAUAUUGCUGCUGGAUGCAGGGGCCGAUCCAUACUCCCUGGACAACGACGGAAGAAGUGCCCUUCAUUUGCUUGCGAUAAACGAAUAUGCACUUGCUCCAUGGAGAGAUCGGGUUGAUUGGGACAAUUGCAGGUCGAAAUUGUUCACAUCAGUCGUACAAGCUUUCUUGAACUCGUGUUAAUUUCCACGUUUAAUAAAUUCCUUUGGGCGAACGGCACUACAAUUUGUCAAUGUAGUUCUUGAAGUCAACCAAUGCAUCCAUCCCGAUUACGCAUUUAGGCGUGCA